rnacentral:tRNA from 1 species
AGGAAUUUAGGUUAACAUAGACCAAGAGCCUUCAAAGCUCUAAGCAAAUGAGCAUACAUUUAAUUCCUG